rnacentral:rRNA from 1 species
CAGUCGAGCGGUAACAGGUGUAGCAAUACAUGCUGACGAGCGGCGAACGGGUGAGUAAUGCUUUGGAAUCUGCCUAGUAGUGGGGAAUAACCUGGGGAAACUCAGGCUAAUACCGCAUACGCCCUACGGGGGAAAGCGGGGGAUCGUAAGACCUCGCGCUAUUAGAUGAGCCAAAGUCGGAUUAGCUAGUUGGUGGGGUAAAGGCCUACCAAGGCGACGAUCCGUAGCUGGUCUGAGAGGACGACCAGCCACACUGGGACUGAGACACGGCCCAGACUCCUACGGGAGGCAGCAGUGGGGAAUAUUGGAUAAUGGGCGCAAGCCUGAUCCAGCGACGCCGCGUGUGUGAAGAAGGCCUGCGGGUUGUAAAGCACUUUUAGUGGGGAUGAAACGCUCAGACCUAACACGUCUGGGAAUUGACCUAACCCAAAGAAAAAGCACCGGCUAACUCUGUGCCAGCAGCCGCG